UCAUCGGUGGUUCAGUGGUAGAAUUCUCGCCUGCCACGCGGGCGGCCCGGGUUCGAUUCCCAGCCGAUGCA
rnacentral:tRNA from 1 species